CGCUGUGAAUCGUCUGUUCAAAAAAGACGAUCGUCUUGUCGCCGCGAUUUACUUUUUUAAAACGUUGGCGACAAAUCGUCCAGUGUGUCCCUACCCUUAAACUAAUUAUAAGUGUUUUUCAUAAAGCAAGUCUGGCGGGAUGUUAAACACUUGUUAAUUUAGUACCUAUGUAAGUAAAUCCUGCAAUGUCUGAAACUGAAUGUGCACAGCGCUGUGUAUGAUUAGUAAUACUAUAUAUAUGAACAGAAGAUAAAACUGGAACUCUUUUUCUUCACCCACCCUAUUAUUCUACUGACCUCCUUUACAUCUUCCAGCUCUACAAUAUCAUUGCCCGGAGUGCAUUCCUUAUUAAAGACAGGAGUCGACAAAGGAUUUGUUGAGAGAUACUAAUAGCACUGCAGCUAUAAUCCUAUUUAUGGAAGCCAAAACCUCACUUGGUUUUUUGCCGAUAAACCUGACACUAUGGGGGGUGUAAUUAAAGGCACAGCUUUGCCCAGAUUUAUCAAAAUGUGAGAUUUCAUCAAGGAGUUGUAAAAGGAAGCAUACACCCAUUCGAACAACUGAAGAAAAUAAAAUUUUGCAGCCACGAGAAGACCCAAAGAAACAGGAAGAUGGACCCCAGCCUAAAAACCAGUAAAGUGGGAGAUUCAAGGAUAAUGUAAACUGUGCUAUAUAGCCAUGGAACUGUACCAAGGUAUGGGAUCUGUUAUAUGAAAUGCUUGGAACUGGGGUUUAUUAAAAGCAAUCAUUAAAAAGACCUAACAGGAUGGUUAAAAAAAUAUAUGAAUUAUUUGCUAAGAAGGGACUCUGUGAAAGACGGCACUCUGGAUAACAGGUUUUUCGAAUAAGGGAUGCCAAGGUGAGUUAAAUAAGCAUUAUGGAUUAGCUGGAUGUUGUGUUUAGGGGAAGUACUGCCCUAUUAUUUUUUUAAAAAUAGAGAUUUUUAUAAUGGAAACAUUAAAGAGGUUGUUCAGCUUUCU